rnacentral:rRNA from 1 species
ACCACAUUGAAAGCUGGCGUCUUCGGCGUCCGCAUUGUAAUCUCAAGAAGUGUUUUCCGCUUCGGACCAUGCCUAAGUCCCUUGGAAAAGGGCAUCAUAGAGGGUGAUAAUCCCGUACAUGGCAUGGAGCGCCCGAAGCUUUGUGAUACGCUUUCUAAGAGUCGAGUUGUUUGGGAAUGCAGCUCAAAAUGGGUGGUAAAUGCCAUCUAAGGCUAAAUAUUGGGGAGAGACCGAUAGCGAACAAGUACAGUGAUGGAAAGAUGAAAAGAACUUUGAAAAGAGAGUUAAACAGUACGUGAAAUUGCCAAAAGGGAAGGGUAGGAGGUCAGAGAUGCGGCCUGGGAUUCAGCCUUGCUUUUGCUUGGUGUUUUUCCCAGAUUGCAGGCCAACGUCGGUUUUGGGCACUGGAGAAGGGUAGGAGGAACGUGGCACCUCUCGGGGUGUGUUAUAGCCUCCUACUGGAUACAGCGACCGAGACCGAGGACAGCAGCGUACUCGCAAGAGCGGGCCUUCGGGCACCUUUACGCUUAGGGCGUUGGCAUAAUGGCCCUCUACCAC